CGGUAAUUGAUUAGCUACGGAAACACGAUCAAAAACGUUCCGCGGUAUUUCGAACGGCGCGCGUAAUCGAUUUGCGCGAGAAAAUCGUCCCUUUCGACGGCGGCGGGAGAAAUGACGUGAUCGGACGAUUUCGUGCUUUUUUUUUCCGGGCUUUGCACAUUUUUCAACGGCUUUUUUUUUUUUUUUUCCGCGAAAAUUAUCGAACGCCGUCGUAUUUCUAUCGGUACGCAUUGAAUACCCGUGCGUUUUCGUUUUUUUCGCGUAUCGUUUUUGGAUUUCCGCCGCGAGUUGUUCGUCGCUCGCCAUGCGCUCACCGUGUCUAUAUAUAUAUACGUAUACCUAACCCCCUACCUCCUACGCCCCCCCCCCCCCC